AAAGGAGACCAAGACUUUUUUGUUUUGUAUAAAAAGAAAAAAGUGAAAAAAGGUCAAGACAAGAAAAAAGCAAAGCAACUCUCAAACUAUGAAGUAUAGGUUAAAAAAGGGCUAUUAGCUCAGGUGGUUAGAGCGCACCCCUGAUAAGGGUGAGGUCCUUGGUUCAAGUCCAAGAUGGCCCACUAGCCAAAAAAGGUGAAGCGUAGUCCAGUGGAAAGAGGGGGUAUAGCUCAGUUGGUAGAGCGCCUGCUUUGCAAGCAGGAUGUCAGCGGUUCGAGUCCGCUUACCUCCACCAGAAAAAGGAAAACAGAACAGCACUUAACCGAAAAAAAGGAAAAGAUGCUGGUUUGUAAAAACCAGUAAGAACCUUGAAAACUGCAUAGAGAAAAAAAGAGUCAAUGGAAAAG
rnacentral:tRNA from 1 species